rnacentral:rRNA from 1 species
AUUGAACGCUGGCGGCAUGCCUUACACAUGCAAGUCGAACGGCAGCACGGGAGCAAUCCUGGUGGCGAGUGGCGAACGGGUGAGUAAUGCAUCGGAACGUGCCAUUGAGUGGGGGAUAACGUAGCGAAAGUUACGCUAAUACCGCAUAUUCUGUGCGCAGGAAAGCAGGGGAGUCGCAAGACCUUGCGCUCUUUGAGCGGCCGAUGUCAGAUUAGCUAGUUGGUAGGGUAAAGGCCUACCAAGGCGACGAUCCGUAGCGGGUCUGAGAGGAUGAUCCGCCACACUGGGACUGAGACACGGCCCAGACUCCUACGGGAGGCAGCAGUGGGGAAUUUUGGACAAUGGGCGAAAGCCUGAUCCAGCCAUGCCGCGUGAGUGAAGAAGG